ensembl:miRNA
UUAGGUUGGUGCAAAAGUAAUUGUGGUUUUUGCUAUUAAAAGUAAUGCCAAAACCCACAGUAACUUUUGCACCAACCUAAUA